UACGUAGGGACCAAGCGUUGUCCGGAAUCAUUGGGCGUAAAGAGCGUGUAGGCGGCUUGUUAAGUCUUGCGUGAAAUCUCGGGGCUCAACCCCGAGCGGUCGUGAGAAACUGGCAGACUAGAGUCCGGAAGAGGAGAGUGGAAUUCCUGGUGUAGCGGUGAAAUGCGCAGAUAUCAGGAAGAACACCCGUGGCUAAGGCGGCUCUCUAGUACGGUACUGACGCUGAGACGCGAAAGCGUGGGGAGCGAACAGG
rnacentral:rRNA from 1 species